rnacentral:rRNA from 1 species
AAUGAACGCUGGCGGCAGGCCUAAAACAUGCAAGUCGAACGCCCUAGCAAUAGGGAGUGGCGCGCGGGUGAGUAACACGUGGGAAUAUGCCUUUUGGUACGGAACAACGUCUGGAAACGGACGCUAAUGCCGUAUAGUCCCUUCGGGGUAAAGAUUUAUCGCCAAAAGAUUAGCCCGCGUCUGAUUAGCUAGUUGGUGAGGUAAUGGCUCACCAAGGCGACGAUCAGUAGCUGGUCUGAGAGGACGAUCAGCCACACUGGGACUGAGACACGGCCCAGACUCCUACGGGAGGCAGCAGUUAGGAAUAUUGGACAAUGGACGCAAGUCUGAUCCAGCCAUGCCGCGUGAGUGAUGAAGGCCUUCGGGUUGUAAAGCUCUUUAGUCCACGAUUAUAAUGACUGUAGUGGAAGAAUAAGCCCCGGCUAACUUCGUGCCAGCCGCCGCAGUAAUAC